rnacentral:tRNA from 1 species
AAGAUACUAGUAAAACGGCCAUUACACUGCUUUGUCAAGGCAGAAUUGUGGGUUAAAUCCCCACGUAUCUUG